rnacentral:misc_RNA from 1 species
UAUGGGGAUUAGUAUGGCUUUUAUGGCAGCCAUGAAAGGAUACAAGAUGAUUCUAACCAUGCCCUCUUACACCAGCUUGGAGAGAAGGGUAACUAUGAGGGCAUUUGGCGCUGAGCUAAUUCUCACUGAUCCCACCAAGGGAAUGGGAGGAACAGUUAAGAAGGCACAUGAUCUUUUGGAAUCCACACCAAAUGCUUUCAUGCUGCAACAAUUUUCAAAUCCUGCAAAUACUAAGAUCCAUUUUGAAACUACGGGUCCUGAAAUUUGGGAGGAUACACUUGGACAAGUUGACAUCUUUGUGAUGGGAAUAGGCAGUGGAGGAACAGUCUCCGGUGUUGGACAGUACCUUAAAUCACAAAAUCCUAAAGUUAAGAUAUAUGGAGUGGAGCCUGCUGAAAGUAAUGUGCUGAAUGGUGGUAAACCAGGUCCUCAUCAUAUUACUGGAAACGGAGUUGGAUUUAAACCAGACAUAUU